rnacentral:rRNA from 1 species
UUCCUGGUGAACAUAGCAUUUUGGAACCACCUGAACCCAUGCCGAACUCAGUAGUGAAACGAAAUAGCGCCGAUGAUAGUGUGGGGUUUCCCAUGUGAAAGUAGGACAUUGCCAGG